rnacentral:rRNA from 1 species
UACGUAGGGGGCAAGCGUUGUCCGGAUUUAUUGGGCGUAAAGAGCGUGUAGGCGGUCAGGUAGGUCCGUUGUGAAAACUCGAGGCUCAACCUCGAGACGCCGAUGGAAACCAUCUGACUAGAGUCCGGAAGAGGAGAGUGGAAUUCCUGGUGUAGCGGUGAAAUGCGCGGAUAUCAGGAAGAACACCCGUGGCUAAGGCGGCUCUCUAGUACGGUACUGACGCUGAGACGCGAAAGCGUGGGGAGCGAACAGG